rnacentral:misc_RNA from 1 species
GAUGAAGAACGUAGCGAAAUGCGAUAAGUAAUGUGAAUUGCAGAAUUCAGUGAACCAUCGAAUCUUUGAACGCACAUUGCGCCCGCCAGUAUUCUGGCGGGCAUGCCUGUUCGAGCGUCAUUACAACCCUCAGGCCCCCGGGCCUGGCGUUGGGGAUCGGCGGAGCCCCCCGUGGGCACACGCCGUCCCCCAAAUGCAGUGGCGGUCCCGCCGCAGCUUCCAUCGCGUAGUAGCUAACACCUCGCGACUGGAGAGCGGCGCGGCCACGCCGUAAAACACACAACUCUUCUGAAGUUGACCUCGAAUCAGGUAGGAAUACCCGCUGAACUUAAGCAUAUCAAUAAGCGGAGGA